CCCGACUGCUAUUUGGGUGAGAAUAAGCCAUGCGAGUUGAAUGGGAUACCUAAAGUUCCCAUAGCAAACUGCUCAGUAACACAUGAUCAACUUACCCUAUAGAGAAAAAUAACCUCGGGAAACUGAGGAUAAUGUUUCAUAAUUGAAUUGGCUUGGAAAAGUUUUCCAAUGAAAAGGAUAAAAAAAAUGGUUUUUAUCUGCUAUAGGAUAGGAUCGUGUUCGAUUAUGGUUGUUGGUGAGAUAAUGGCUCACCAAGCCGAUAAUCGAUAGGGGCCGUGAGAGCGGGAGCCCCGAGAUGGGUACUGAGACAACGACCCAGGCCUUACGAGGCGCAGCAGGCGCGGAACCUCCGCAAUACACGAAAGUGUGACGGGGUUACCCAAAGUGUUCAAUAGAACUGUGGUAGGUGAGUAAUGUCCCCUACUAGAAAGGAGAGGGCAAGGCUGGUGCCAGCCGCCGCGGUAAAACCAGCUCUUCAAGUGGUCGGGAUAAUAUUGGGCUUAAAGUGUCCGUAGCCGGUUUAGUAAGUUCCUGGUAAAAUCGGGUAGCUUAACUAUCUGCAUGCUAGGAAUACUGCUAUACUAGAGGGCGGGAGAGGUCUGAGGUACUACAGGGGUAGGGGUGAAAUCUUAUAAUCCUUGUAGGACCACCAGUGGCGAAGGCGUCAGACUGGAACGCGCCUGACGGUGAGGGACGAAAGCCAGGGGAGCGAACCGGAUUAGAUACCCGGGUAGUCCUGGCCGUAAACGAUGCAUACUAGGUGAUGGUACGGCCAUGAGCCGUAUCAGUGCCGUAGGGAAACCGUUAAGUGUGCCGCCUGGGAAGUACGGUCGCAAGGCUAAACUUAAAGGAAUUGGCGGGGGAGCACCACAAGGGGUGAAGCCUGCGGUUCA
rnacentral:rRNA from 1 species